UCAUCUCCUUUAAAUAAGUCCUCAAAUCCCCUCUAAAACUCGGAUUUUGAUUACAUUUGUUUUCCAUAAAGAAAUCACCACCAUUGUACCACAAACCUCAACCUCUUGAUCAAAUUAGCUAUUGCAUUUAAAACGAUACUCGCAGUACUUGUACUUCCUACUAUUUUUCUUGCUUGUGCUCCAUUGAUAUCAUGAAAAGACAUUCAUGGUCAGGUCAGUGUUGCUAGCAAGAUCAAUUUCUGUCGGAGUUGGUUCCAAAUAUUGCAGGCCGCCACAUGCACGCGUCAUACGGUUAUCUCCGGAUCAUGAGGGUCAUCCCCACCUAAUUAACAGUUAUUCUCGCUGAAAGAUAAGUAAUUAAACCUAAAGUGCAAGGAUCCGGAGAAUCAAAGCCUAUGUGAGCAAGAUAAAAAAAGAGAGAGGAGCACACGUGCAUGCAAGAUAGAGCUCAGUGGUAGGAGGAAGUGUGAGACUCGUCAUUGGUCUGGUGUGACUAAGGCAGGACAUCUAGAGGCUCGGCGUACUAAUAGUGUUUCUACCCGAGCACGCACAUACUUGUCGUCGAAGCAGUCACUGCCAUCAAUUCUUGAAAGUAGUAAACAUCAUUGUCCCGCUUCCAGUUAUUGUCGCACCACCUUUGAUCCACCUUAAUUCUGUGGCGGCAAAGGGACGUCUUCCUGUUGACACCAGCAACAGAUUACAUGGCAAAGUUAAUAGACAUUGCAGUUUAAAUUGUCGCUCUUCAUCCACAUCAACAAAAUCUUGUACAUGGUAAAGUUUCCAAUAAAUAUCGAAGAUGCCCUUAUAAGAAAAUCAAGUCCAAGCCAACAGAGGUCCAUGCAUGAAGGCUUCAAGAUGGCAAAAGGCAUAUUCUGCAAGAUGAAGCUUGUUGGAAUCUGUGUCAAAUAUAAGUCUGAGUUGGGUU
rnacentral:lncRNA from 1 species